UACGUAGGCAGCAAGCGUUGUUCGGAGUUACUGGGCGUAAAGGGUGUGUAGGCGGUUGUUUAAGUUUGGUGUGAAAUCUCCCGGCUCAACUGGGAGGGUGCGCCGAAUACUGAAUGACUAGAGUGCGGGAGAGGAGAGUGGAAUUCCUGGUGUAGCGGUGAAAUGCGUAGAUAUCAGGAGGAACACCGGUGGUGUAGACGGCUCUCUGGACCGUAACUGACGCUGAGACACGAAAGCGUGGGUAGCAAAC
rnacentral:rRNA from 1 species